UCUGUUUUUAACUGUGCAGCACUUCGAGCUGUGCAAGCAUGAGAAGCGCUCUCUUAUAAAUAAAGUUUGAUUUGAUUUGGAAAAUUACAUGCAAAUACCGUUGCCACUUUCUAAUGGUUAAUGCUAACUAGGAUGUAAGACAUAUCUAAGUAUUGCCGUCUUUAUCUUUAUGACCUGCUAGUUGUGUUUCAAUUACUCCACAGCAGAAUGUUUGUAAAUAUUUGUCUGUAAUUUUCAGUGUCAGGUGAAAGCAGUCUGACGGGCUAAGUGACAGUACGGUGCAGUGAAGAGGAUAGAGGCACCUCAUCAGCUUACAAAUCCGCUGGAAUGAUGCUCAUUGCGUAAACACUGGACCUUCAACACUGGAGCUUUUAAUGGACGGUUUUCAUUUACUCCACCUGCCGCCAGCAUCAGGCACUCAUGCACAGGGUCAAACAGCAGGAACAGCAGACAAGAAGGACGAGCAGAACCAGGUGAGCGUUUAUGCCCCGCCCUGAUCCGUUGGGUGUGUACAGUGACUCGAUGUUUCAUUUAUCUUGGAUUUAGCACUCAUAAGUUUCAUUUCCUGAGAAUGUUUCAAGUUAUAACACAUCCAUUGUAAAGCAUGCCAAACCAAGGGUGUGAUGGUGCACACAAAAUGGCUGCGUUGACGCGCGUUCAAGCACCCAUUUAAAUAAAAAGUCAUAUGCGUGUAUAUGUCCGA